GCUAAGACUACCUCACUCUCGCGUCGUCCCGCUCGACUGCUCGCCUUGCUCAAUCGACGGCAAAGAACAAGCUUUCUUUCUCCAGUCCAGCCUAUCUUCGACUCAAGCUUCGUGAAGUUGCUGAUUUCGGCGCCCAAUCUCGGCCGAUUAAGUGUAUCCGAAUGCUCUGAAAUGGAGAAAAUAAUUGAUUUGGAGGAAAAUAAUCACAUAUAUGUUUGCAAUCACUAUUGGUGUUGAAGAAAGAGAUGCCGCUCAAGAUUGGCUAAUCUCUGCUUCGUGGUUGGCUAAGCUCUCCAUCAAUUUGAAAAUUGAGGUUUCCAGCGAACGACAAUGAUAGAAAUGUUUGUCAAUGUUUUUUAUCCCUGCUUCAUGAUUAUCUUCUGCAAAAAUUUGCUCUUGUUUGAGUAUUGAAAUCUGCAAGAAAUUUGUGGAAAAUUUUAUGCAAAGAUAGAGGAAAAUUGUUAAUUUAAUUGGAAGGCUAGGGAUUGAACUAGAAUUAGAAGUUAGUCAUGUUUCUUGGUCCGACGCUGUACCCAACAUUUUAUUAAGUUAGUCUAACUUAGUCUAUUCUAAGUCAAUCUAGUUUAGUUCCUAAAACUAGUCCAGUCCGAGAUAAUCUGGUGUAACAAAUGC
rnacentral:sRNA from 1 species